rnacentral:rRNA from 1 species
UACGGGGGGAGCAAGCGUUGUUCGGAUUUACUGGGCGUAAAGGGCGCGUAGGCGGCGCGACAAGUCACUUGUGAAAUCUCCGGGCUUAACUCGGAGCGGCCAAGUGAUACUGUCGUGCUAGAGUGCGGAAGGGGCAACUGGAAUUCUCGGUGUAGCGGUGAAAUGCGUAGAUAUCAGGAGGAACACCGAUGGCGAAGGCAGGUCUCUGGGCCACUACUGACGCUGAGAAGCGAAAGCAUGGGGAGCGAACAGG